GUACAGGAUAGGUGGGAGGCUUUGAAACCAGGACGCCAGUUUUGGCGGAGCCAUCCUUGGGAUACCACCCUUGUAGUACUGGGACUCUAACCAUAGGCCAUGAAUCUGGUCUUGGGACACUGUCAGGUGGGCAGUUUGACUGGGGCGGUCGCCUCCCAAAAGGUAACGGAGGCGCUCAAAGGUUCUCUCAGUACGGUCGGAAAUCGUACGUAGAGUGUAAAGGCAAAAGAGAGCUUGAUUGCAAGACAUACAGGUCGAGCAAGGAUGAAAAUCGGACUUAGUGAUCCGGUGGUUCUGCGUGGAAGGGCCAUCGCUCAACGGAUAAAAGCUACCCUGGGGAUAACAGGCUUAUCUCCCCCAAGAGUCCACAUCGACGGGGAGGUUUGGCACCUCGAUGUCGGCUCAUCACAUCCUGGGGCUGUAGUAGGUCCCAAGGGUUGGGCUGUUCGCCCAUUAAAGUGGUACGCGAGCUGGGUUCAGAACGUCGUGAGACAGUUCGGUCCCUAUCCGUCGCAGGCGUAGGAAAUUUGAGAAGACCUGUCCUUAGUACGAGAGGACCGGGAUGGACGUACCUCUGGUGUACCAGUUGUCCUGCCAAGGGCAUGGCUGGGUAGCUAUGUACGGAAUGGAUAAGCGCUGAAAGCAUCUAAGCGCGAAGCCAACUUCAAGAUAAGAUUUCCCACCGCAAGGGUAAGACUCCAGAAAGACUAUCUGGUUGAUAGGUCGAAGGUGUAAGUGCAGCAAUGUAUUUAGCUUAUCGAUACUAAUAGGUCGAGGACUUGACCAA
rnacentral:rRNA from 1 species